AACUUUCAACAACGGAUCUCUUGGUUCUGGCAUCGAUGAAGAACGCAGCGAAAUGCGAUAAGUAAUGUGAAUUGCAGAAUUCAGUGAAUCAUCGAAUCUUUGAACGCACAUUGCGCCCGGUGGUAUUCCACCGGGCAUGCCUGUUCGAGCGUCAUUUCAACCCUCAAAAGCUUGCUUUUGGUGUUGGAGGAAUACCUGUAAAAGGGUACCCUCUGAAAUUUAGUGGCGGGCUCGCUAGAAUUUUGAGCGUAGUAAUUUUACCUCGUUUUUAAAGACUAGUGGGACUUCUUGCCGUAAAACCCCCAACUUU
rnacentral:rRNA from 1 species